GUUGAAACACCAGUUCUUAUACGAUAACUGAAGUUAAGCAACAUCGAACCUUGUCAGUACUUAGAUGGGUGACCACUUGAGAACACCAGAUGCUGUAAG